UUGCUCCUCCUCACCUCCAAAAUAACUCUCAGAAAACUUCCAAAAGCUACCUCCAACCCAGCUCCUGGAGCAGCAGAAGCUAAAAGUGAAGCUGCCAUCUCCUUGAUCAACAAUUUCACACUAUUAGUGAGACGCAAAUAAAUAUGGGAAACAAUUCAUGGGUUUGGUUAAUUUGGAAAAAGGAAAUCUGCCACUCAUUUUAUCAGAAAUUCUCUCACUUUACCUUGGGAACUUCGUUACAGGGGAAAGAAAUAUAAGAGGGGAAAAGAAAAUAAAGGAG
rnacentral:misc_RNA from 1 species